rnacentral:rRNA from 1 species
CAGCCGCCGCGGGAAUACGAAGGGGGCUAGCGUUGCUCGGAAUGACUGGGCGUAAAGGGCGCGUAGGCGGAUUGUACAGUCAGACGUGAAAUUCCUGGGCUCAACCUGGGGACUGCGUUUGAGAUGUGCGAUCUAGAGUUUGGAAGAGGGUCGUGGAAUUCCCAGUGUAGAGGUGAAAUUCGUAGAUAUUGGGAAGAACACCGGUGGCGAAGGCGGCGACCUGGUCCUUGACUGACGCUGAGGCGCGAAAGCGUGGGGAGCAAACAGGAUUAGAUACCCCGGUAGUCCCUGUCUCUUAUAC